rnacentral:lncRNA from 1 species
AUGCAGUUUUUGCCACUCGGAGCAGGGCGGAGGGGAGAGGGGCCGUUUGCGAGCCACCCCCCUCCGCGCUCCCCGGCAGCACGGAACUCAUUUUGCAAGUUUUCCCCAGCAAAUCCAGCCCAAGUUGGCUCAAGGAUGCUUCCCACCUGCCGAAGCCCCUCCUGCGGGCUCUGGGCUGCGCCCCCCGCCCCAGCUGCCUGCAGCAAACGGUGCAAGCGCUGCGAGAGCAGCGACUGCAGCCAGCCCCUGAGCGCACCACCUGCACCCUGGGAUGCAGCAUCCCGGCCCUGGGACAUCCAGAUUCAGUUCCGAAUGUCACGGGAUGCAGUGGGAUGCGGUGGGAUGCGGUGGGAUGCUGUGGGAUGUGGUGGGAUGCAGUGGGAUGCAGUGGGAUGCAGUGGGAUGCUGUGGGAUGUGGUGGGAUGCAGUGGGAUGCAGUGGGAUGUGGUGGGAUGCAGUGGGAUGCUGUGGGAUGUGGUGGGAUGCAGUGGGAUGCUGUGGGAUGCAGUGGGAUGUGGUGGGAUGCUGUGGGAUGCUGUGGGAUGCUGUGGGAUGCAGUGGGAUGCAGUGGGAUGCUGUGGGAUGUGGCAGAACAGAGCUGAGUGUCAUGGGAUGCUGUGGGAUGCGGCAGGAAUGUCACGGGAUGCUGUGGGAUGCGGCAGGAUGCUGCUGAGUGUCACGGGAUGCCGUGGGAUGUGGCAGGGUGGCGCAGGAUGUUCGUGGGGUGCUGUGGGAUGCCGUGGGGUGCUGUGGGAUGCCGUGGGGUGCUGUGGGAUGCUGUGGGAUCAUGCUCCAGGGCAUGGGGACGCGUGGCCCAGUUUGGGGCUGGCAGCAGGGGCUGGCUGCACUCCGGACCCCUCCAAGGCUGCCCGGAGCAGCGUCACCCUGCUGCCCUGGGCAGAGCCGACCCCACGGAGAGGAGAUGCUCGGGGCAGGGUGAUGACCCUGCGCCCACCCCAUCCCCUCUCACCCUGCUCUUCUCACCUGCACGAAGAGCAACAGCACGGAAACGAGGGAGCCGCCAGAAGCCCCCAGAAGCGAGGCAGCCACCAGGAACCCUCCCUGCUUCCCAUCCCGAGGGCGGCCGUGCCCCACCGGCGGCGUGCUCCGACUGCCAAGCAGGCUGAGCCCNNNNNNNNNNCGGGGCAGGGUGAUGACCCUGCGCCCACCCCAUCCCCUCUCACCCUGCUCUUCUCACCUGCACGAAGAGCAACAGCACGGAAACGAGGGAGCCGCCAGAAGCCCCCAGAAGCGAGGCAGCCACCAGGAACCCUCCCUGCUUCCCAUCCCGAGCGCGGCCGUGCCCCAGCAGCGGCGUGCUCCGACUGCCAAGCAGGCUGA